rnacentral:pre_miRNA from 11 species
GCCUCUUCACGUGACACUCUAUGAAUCUAGUGGAAUCACUUCCGCACAAACUAGAUGAAUGAAACCAGUGUGCGGAAAUGCUUCUGCUACAUUUUUAGGGUCUCCCUCCAGCUUUUUG